GUGUGCUCUACCGAUAAGCUAGAGCCUGGUUGUAGGCCACGACUAUAAAGCGUAUAGACUGUCUUCAGAUAACUUCUACAGUGGGAACUGCUUCUGAGACUGGAGGAAAAAAACCAAGAAUCAAAAGUCGUAACUCUGAGUUACAGUAACGGGAAAGACCAUGCUCCCA